rnacentral:rRNA from 1 species
GGUUGCGAUCAUACCAGCACUAAUGCACCGUAUCACAUCAGAACUCCGAAGUGAAGCGUGCUUGCGCUAGACUAGUACUAGGCUGGGUGACCCCCUGGGAAGUCCUCGUGUUGCAACCC